rnacentral:tRNA from 1 species
GGAUUGUGGCUCAGUGGUAGAGGGCUCGCCUAGCACGGGCCGGACCUGGGUUCGAUCCUCAGCACCA